rnacentral:ncRNA from 1 species
UUAACGGAGAGUUUGAUCCUGGCUCAGGACGAACGCUGGCGGCGUGCCUAAUACAUGCAAGUCGAGCGGACCAAAGGGAGCUUGCUCCCAGAGGUUAGCGGCGGACGGGUGAGUAACACGUGGGCAACCUGCCCUGUAGACUGGGAUAACAUCGAGAAAUCGGUGCUAAUACCGGAUAAUCAAAGGGAUCACAUGG